UAUUAAUUCAAUAUCUGUGGUAUGUUCUAUAGGCAUAUGCAUGCAUUGUCCAUCCAUGAGGGAUUGCCUUUGCUCUGGGAACAAUUAUUUGUGACUGUGUUGGAGAUGUGGAGGAGAGUUGUGACCUGAAAUUGCUGCCAUAAGAAAAUUUUCUUUUCUUGUAUAUGUUUUUUUAGGAUGGUGUUUGCUUGAUUUGAAAAGAAAAUUUGAAGAGCUGAGAUGUUGCAACUGUUUCUCAUUCUUCCCUGUUCUGAUAUGUCCAAGAUUUGUUAUUUUGUGAUUGUGUGCUUUCAUGGGGACAAGAGUCUCAAAGCAAGCAGGUUGAGGAGGUUACCUGCAUAUUGUGGAUUUAAUCUAACUUCCAAUUAGUUGUUCCUUCAGGCUCAGUAGAGGUACCAUGCAAACUUUGGUCUGUUACAAUAUCUUAGAUUAACUUUUUCAUUUUAAUAUUCCUAUCUACUGGUUAAGUAGCAUUUGUCCUUAUUAUUUAAUGUUAUUGCUGAGAUGUGUUUUUAAUUCUAUUUAAUUAUAGUGAAAACAUUAAAAAACUGAAUCGAGAACGAAUGGACCUUUCUGUAUCUUCUAUUUAUAGUUUAUCUAAUGAUCCAAUUAUGGUUUUAGUCCCUCUUCUAUGCUGAAAAUUGUGAUUUAACCUUCUAGAUUGGUAUAAUUUGGUCUCUUCACUUUUAUAAUGUUUUUAGUAGGUCCAAAUUAAUAACACCGGUAGUUGCUGUUAUUCAAGUAAUGAUGUGAUUUUUUUACUAUUAUUUGUUCACAGUCAAGGCUAUGUGGAAAUUCAGUAAAUCAUGUUCAAGCAUUGAUAAAUUUACACGUUGGUUGAAUAUUUAAGGUUUUUUCAACAUAUGUCAAAUUAUGUCAAAUCAUGUUCACGCAUUGAUAAACUAACGGUGUUAUUAAUUUGGACCUACAGAAACCAAAUUAUGUCAAAUUAAAGUUAUUAAAACAAAA